UACGGAGGGUGCGAGCGUUGUUCGGAAUUACUGGGCGUAAAGCGCGUGUAGGCGGCUUCCUAAGUCUGGUGUGAAAGCCCGGGGCUCAACCUCGGAAGUGCAUUGGAUACUGGGAAGCUGGAGUACCGGAGAGGAAGGUGGAAUUCCUGGUGUAGCGGUGAAAUGCGUAGAUAUCAGGAGGAACACCGGUGGCGAAGGCGGCCUUCUGGACGGAUACUGACGCUGAGACGCGAAAGCGUGGGGAGCAAACAGG
rnacentral:rRNA from 1 species